CGUGUAGGCGGCUAGGUAGGUCCGCUGUGAAACUCGAGGCUCAACCUCGAGAUGUCGGGUGGAAACCAUCUGGCUAGAGUCCGGAAGAGGAGAGUGGAAUUCCUGGUGUAGCGGUGAAAUGCGCAGAUAUCAGGAAGAACACCCGUGGCGAAGGCGGCUCUCUGGGACGGUACUGACGCUGAGACGCGAAAGCGUGGGGAGCGAACA
rnacentral:rRNA from 1 species